AGGGGAGAGGGAGGAAGGAUCAAUCGCCGUAGCUACUCUUGGGUGUUAGUUUGAGGAUUCUGCAUUUGCUACGAGAUGCUUUUAUUCUGAGAAGGUCAUCACCCAGCGACAUCCAUGACCCACUCUUUGGAAGUAGGCGAGCCCCGUCACCAUUAAUCCCGUCAAGUUGCCAAUGGUUCAGAAUUAAUCACCACGUAGUGAGAUGCACGCGCUACCAUCACAAGUGGUUUCGAUCUCGUGACCUCACUUUUGUAGAAUGGCGGCCCAUACCAAUAAGUCACAAUCAUUGGGGAUUAGGGGUCUCCCAUUAUUGUGGGUCAACAUAAUCAUUAGAUUUAUUCAGCGGGAAAAAAAAUCAUCAAAAGGGGUCACUAAUUUCUAAGAGUAGUAUAUAUUGAAGCUUGAACCAAUAUACAGCAAGAUCAGUGCCAAAAACUUGCACUCAGGAGCUAGGAGCUAGUGAGUGGAAGGGCGCCAGCAAAAGAAGCCAAGCGGCAGAAAAAGAACAAAGGCUAACAGCCAAAAAUAGGAAAACCCAAAAACCCGGAGUCAACAAGGACACCCGAGAGCAGGCUGGCAAACAAAGAAGGCCAAAGGAGCCCCCACAAACAAGCACCUAAGUAGAAUACGAAGCACCCAAGAAAAUAGAGUGAUCAAAACCCCAACAUCUCUGGAGUCUUCUAUUUCUUGUAUUGCCGGGAACAUUCUUGAAGGCAAGCGCCUUAAAGGCGAGCGCCCUAAGUAGAAUACGAAGCACCUAAGGUUAUAUUUGUUUAUUAUGCAGGAAAGAUAGUUUUUAUUCAGGACUAACUAAUUGUCCCAUUCCAGAUCUUUUAAAUUUCUUAUUUUUUACUCA